AGCAACUUGGCGCAAUGGCAGCGCGCCGGGCUCAUAACCCGGAGGUAGAAGGAUCGAUACUUUCAGUUGCUA
rfam:Magnaporthe oryzae 70-15 chromosome 3, whole genome shotgun sequence.